AUGCCCGCUAACGAUCUAGAGGAAAUUAAGAAGCAGAUUAAGGAGUUAUUGGAGAAAGGUUAUAUCCGACCAAGUUCAUCACCGUGGGGAGCCCCAGUGCUCUUAGUUGAGAAGAAGGAUGGAUCAUUGAGAAUGGUUGUUGAUUAUCGGGCUUUGAAUGAAGUGACAAUCAAGAACAAGUACCAACUACCAAUGAUCAAUGAUUUGUUUGACCAGCUGCAAGGAGCUAAAGUAUUCUCCAAGAUCGAUCUUCGAUCAGGAUACCACCAGUUGAAGAUCCGAGAACAGGAUAUUCCUAAGACAACUUUUACCACAAGGUACGGGCUAUAUGAGUACACGGUCAUGUCUUUUGGAUUGACUAAUGCCCCUUCCUAUUUUAUGAGUAUGAUGAACAAGGUAUUCAUGGAAUUUUUGGACAAGUUUGUUGUGGUGUUCAUUGAUGAUAUUCUGGUAUACUCGAAGAAUGAAGAGGAACACAAGGAGCAUUUGCGCUUAGUUCUCGAGAAGCUCAGGGAGCAUCAGCUAUACGCCAAGUUCAGCAAAUAUUCGAGAAGCACAGAAGGAUGA
rnacentral:rRNA from 1 species